CCUCCGCCGUGCCGACCAGCGCCAGGAUCUUCCUCAGCGGCAUCCGGGCCAUCUCCCACAGAACCAGGACCCGAGUGACCCGAGGAACACCGUUAGUAAUGGAUGAUAUUUCCUGUGUUUUUAUGAUCGUGUUGCCGUUGAUGUUCAGUAAAUCAGUAACUGACCUAUAAAAACAUCUGAGAAGGCGAACAGGAAAUGAAAACACGGCAGUAAAACCCUCAGAGCAGACAUCAUCCGUUCUACCUUUGCCACGUGCUCCAGCCAUCGCCCCAAAGCGAUGAAGACGAACAGCAUGGGCGGCGUGUCGAAGAAGGUGACGGGACUCUGGGCGGCCUGCUCGGCCAUGGCCACCAUCAGGACCACGCAGGAGUAGACGUAGGAGAUGGAGGUGGCCAGAACGAUCAGCACGUCCAUGUUGGCGGUGCGGUGCUUCAGAGAGCGGUGUACAGAGCAGGAAGAAGGCCAGGUUGAGCAGUGAGAGUCCUGGCAGCAGGUUCUGGUCCUCAGGCAUGGAGCCUCCAUGUUCCUGGUGCUGACUGUCCAUCACCAUCAUGUAGAUC